ACGGGGAGCACCACAACAGGUGGAGCCUGCGGUUUAAUCGGACUCAAACGCCGGGAAAACUCACCAGAUAAGACAGCUGAAUGAUAGUCGGGCUGAAGACUCUACUUGACUAGCUGAGAGGAGGUGCAUGGCCGUCGUCAGUUCGUACUGUGGAGCAUCCUGUUAAGUCAGGCAACGAGCGAGACCCACGCCAACAGUUGCCAGCUCGUCCUCCGGGAUGGUGGGGACACUGUUGGGACCGCCUCUGCUAAAGAGGAGGAAGGAAUGGGCAACGGUAGGUCAGCAUGCCCCGAAUUAUCUGGGCUACACGCGGGCUACAAUGGGUGGGACAAUGGGUAUCGACACCGAAAGGUGAAGGCAAUCUCCUAAACCCAUCCGUAGUUCGGAUUGUGGGCUGCAACUCGCCCACAUGAAGCUGGAAUCUGUAGUAAUCGUGUCUCAAAAUGGCACGGUGAAUAUGUCCCUGCUCCUU
rnacentral:rRNA from 1 species